rnacentral:snoRNA from 1 species
CUUUCUCGGAUGAUGAAAUAUUUUGGAUGUAAAUCAAACACUACCGAUGGCGCAAAAACCAUGUGGAAACUUUCCUUGUUGCCUUCCUUCUGAUCCAUGAGA